AACAAUUUUUCAACGGUUAAUUUUAGUGGCCCACCCUAACUUUUUUUUCUCGCUCCGCCACUGACUCACUAAAGUCUGAAGUCCACAAAAAGGUCCUACUUCUAACUUACUCAUAAUAUAUUUAUAGCUAUCCAAAGUACAGCACUACAUUCCCAUGAAAUUGAUCCUACUUUUCCAACUCGCCAUGAGAUAAGAUGUACUUCUCCCCCUGCAAAGCUAAGAUAAACUAGGUCAGAAUUUAACAAGCAUAUUAACCGAAUUGAAAGGAGCACUUGCACAAUUAUAAUAUCAGAAACUUUUCCUUUCUGAACAAGACCCUUUACUCCUAUUUCAAGCUUCAGUGAUUGCAUAGCACAGGAGCAUCAACAUAGGUCAGGUGUGAAGCUUGAGUUUGUUUGACAUAGACUUAUCUUAUUUGACAAACUUGUAAAUUAGUUUGUGGUUACUCUUGGUAAAGCUUACAACAAAUAUCUUUUAUGUCAUUUUA